AGAGUUUGAUCCUGGCUCAGAACGAACGCUGGCGGCGUGCCUAACACAUGCAAGUCGAACGGAGAUAAGGGGCUUGCUCCUUAUUUUAGUGGCGCACGGGUGAGUAACGCGUGGAUAAUCUACCUUGGAAUCUGGGAUAACAUUUCGAAAGGGGUGCUAAUACCGGAUAAGACCACGAGCUCUUUGGAGUUUGCGGUAAAAGGGGGCCUCUGUAUAUGCUUCUGCUUCAAGAUGAGUCCGCGUACCAUUAGCUAGUUGGCAGGGUAAUGGCCUACCAAGGCGACGAUGGUUAGCUGGUCUGAGAGGAUGAUCAGCCACACUGGAACUGAGACACGGUCCAGACUCCUACGGGAGGCAGCAGUGGGGAAUUUUGCGCAAUGGGGGAAACCCUGACGCAGCAACGCCGCGUGAGUGAUGAAGGCCUUCGGGUCGUAAAGCU
rnacentral:rRNA from 1 species